rnacentral:rRNA from 1 species
GACGAACGCUGGCGGCGUGCCUAACACAUGCAAGUCGAGCGGGGUUGAAGCGAGAGGUAACUCGAACUUCUACCUAGCGGCGGACGGGUGAGUAACGCGUGGGCAACCUGCCUCAAGGUCUGGGAUAACAGCCCGAAAGGGCUGCUAAUACUGGGUAUGCUUGUGGCCUCGCAUGGGGCUAUGAGCAAAGGGGAAACCCGCCUUGAGAUGGGCCCGCGUCCCAUCAGCUAGUUGGUGAGGUAACAGCUCACCAAGGCGACGACGGGUAGCCGGCCUGAGAGGGUGACCGGCCACACUGGGACUGAGACACGGCCCAGACUCCUACGGGGGGCAGCAGUGGGGGAUCUUGCACAAUGGGCGAAAGCCUGAUGCAGCGACGCCGCGUGAGCGAAGAAGGCCUUCGGUUGUAAAGCUCUGUCUGGAGGGACGAAGGAAGUGACGGUACCGUCCGGAGGAAGCCACGGCUAACUACGUGCCAGCAGCCGCGGUAAACGACGAGAGUAA